rnacentral:lncRNA from 1 species
AUGUGUAAGCCGAGCAUCCCAAGGAGCAGACUGAUGGUGUCAGUGCCCUGCAGCUCUUCAAAGCCCAACUCUUUAUUUAGAGAUAUGCCAGAGUGCAACGGUGUGAUCUUGGCUCACCACAACCUCCGUCUCCCAGCAGAGACAGGAUUUCUCCAUGUUGGUCAGGCUAGUCUCGAACUCCCAACCUCAGGUGAUCCGUCUGCCUUGGCCUGCCAAAGUGCUGAGAUUACAGGCAUGAACCAUCAUGCCUGGCUUUUUAGCCAGGUACUUUUCAGCCUCCAUUGUACCCCAACACUUCGCCCAGCACCCAGUGUAGAGGAAGCAUGCAAUGAAGAGCCAACGGGUCAACAGAAGAACGAGCAACUGUUCAAGACUUCUCUCUUGGCCCAUUGAUGACCACAAAAAGGAAUGUCCAGUGCAGCUGCGGGUCCACUUGAGCCCUCCAAGCAAGCACUCUCAAGCCCGUUCUGUCUGGGAGCUCUGUGUUUUCAGAGCCUGUUGUUGCAGCGAUGCCUGGAAUCCUUAACACCUGCACACCAGCUUCCUGGGCAUUUCCACACCCUCCCCCUCCCCACCUCCUGCAUUUCCCAUUUGCAUCUGAAAUGCAGCUGCUCUGGGCCCUAUAGAGGGAAGCCAAAUGGACAGGACAUCUCCUUGUUUGGUCUCCCUCCCCUGAGUCAAACCGAAUCUGAAGCUCCUCUGUGCGACGCCUUUGUUGCCUCCUCAUUAUGUUUAAAUGAGCCUCAUCUGCAGGAGGAUUUUUUUUUAAUAAAAUAAAAUAAAACCACCACAAAAGACCAAAGCUUAUGACAUCUGCUCUUUCGAUGAAAGCUUUUUUUGUCCCGAAUUAGACUAAAAAAAGAAGAAGAAAACAUGAAAGAAAAAAGAACGGGGCUGGGCCUCAUUUGUACCAUUCCUCCCAAGAAACAAAACAAACAGAAUUAGUGUAUGCUGGAGGCAAAGGGUGUGGAAUGGAUAACAAGAAAAAAAGAAGGAGAGAAAAGAAGAAAUAAAAGGAAUACUUCCUGCUUCUCCAGCAGCAUUUUGCCAUCACUCUACAUCAGGAAUAUUCAGACACCAUUACUUAAGUGGCCAUUACUUUUAGAGAAUGUUCAAAUUUAUAUUUCCUAUGCUCAUUUCACAG